rnacentral:sRNA from 1 species
GUAUUCGUUUCAUCUACACCAGAGAAGGCAGACCAAGUGGCGAGGCUUUUGUUGAACUUGAAUCAGAAGAUGAAGUCAAAUUGGCCCUGAAAAAAGACAGAGAAACUAUGGGACACAGAUAUGUUGAAGUAUUCAAGUCAAACAACGUUGAAAUGGAUUGGGUGUUGAAGCAUACUGGUCCAAAUAGUCCUGACACGGCCAAUGAUGGCUUUGUACGGCUUAGAGGACUUCCCUUUGGAUGUAGCAAGGAAGAAAUUGUUCAGUUCUUCUCAGGGUUGGAAAUCGUGCCAAAUGGGAUAACAUUGCCGGUGGACUUCCAGGGGAGGAGUACGGGGGAGGCCUUCGUGCAGUUUGCUUCACAGGAAAUAGCUGAAAAGGCUCUAAAGAAACACAAGGAAAGAAUAGGGCACAGGUGGGGAUGGAUGGUUGGUUGGAUAUGUCACUUUUCUUAUGGUAAACAAUUAAAUCCAUAUUCUCUCUGCUUAAAAGAAGAAAUUAAUGUUUUGUAGUCCUAGGUAAUUGAUGUUUUGCCAUGAUUUCCAAACUUUUCUUAUGUCAGUCCCAUGUUACACGCAAACUAAAUUU